GCACAAACGUGCCGCUACGCGCUCCUCGUUCUGUAAAGACCUCAAUGCUUUUCUAACAAAGCGUUAUUUAGCCAAGAACGGCAAACGUUGCUGCAGAAAACAGCAGCUGGAUUUUGUGGAGAGGUAACGGACUUCAAUUAGUGUGACUCGCAGGUGAACUGAACUCCCGUAACGAAAUUCCCCUCAGCCACGUGAACUCCUCGUCGUUCCGUCAGUGUCACUGCGACGGGCAAAGCGCCCUCUGCCCCCGUUCCAAAUGCAGUAAGAAAUCCGGGCUCCGGCUUCGCUUCGUAUUUGACAAACUAAUUUAAUCAGACCCGUUACGGACACGUGCGGUUCUGCGGGGAAUCGGCACAGUCCGAGCGCCGGCCCCGGCCGCUCCUCCGCUCGGAUUCUCCGGUUUCGAUCUGAGGACCCCGGGGCCGCCCCGCGCUUCGAGCCCACGGGCGGAGACGUUCCGGAAAGCAGACAGCAGCGCACAGCGGUCCGGGUGCGACCCCUCUCGCUCUGCGUGCCGAGACCGCCCCGAAUUAACGUUUCCCGUUCUCCGUCCCUCUUCCCCAGGGCAGCACGGAGCGCUGCGGAGCAUCUCUGUGCCCUCGUGAGAGCCGGCGGUGCAACGAACGGCAGUCGUUCGUACGGCCGGAUCGUUUUCCUGGCGGUAAACCUGCUCAAAGGAAAAAAGCCAAAGACAAAAUGAACAGUUACUGCCCUUCUUUAAGUCAGAACGCGGCUCGGGUGCCGACGGAAUCUGCAGCGCGGGACAGACUCCCACCUCGCGCCCGUCUUUCCCCGCGCAGCGCGUUUGUCCGCACGGCAGCGGCGCAGCUCUGACUUUACGCAACAGUGCUGCGGAACCCGCGAGGCCGAACGUCUGCGAGAGCCGCCCCUGCCGCCGCCCGCCGAGCGCCCCGACCACCCGCAGCACUCCGGGCCGAUCCGACCCGGCCGCCGCGGCGCUGCUGGCGGUUCCCUUCGUCCCGUCUCUGUGGCUCCGCGCUGCCGCCGUCCCCUAAAAAGUACGACCAUAGGAGCCCCCUCCGGCGCAGACCCACCAAGGCACGGACGGGGUUCGAACCCGUGAUCUUCGGUUUACGAGACCGACGCCUUACCACUUGGCCACCGCGCCUGCGUUAACGGCUCGGCCCGAGGCCGUUCUGUCGCUGGCGCCACUCCCGCUGCUCCGCGGCCUUCGCGGUGCGCGCGCGUCAGCACCUGCGGCCGUUAGGCGCGCGCGCGACCGUUGCUCCCUCAGGCGAGGCCGUCCCGCCGCGCGUUCCGCCUGCGCGGCCAGGCGUUCCUCUGCCGAGAGGUGGCCCUCGUGUGCUCAGAGCCGUAAUUGGAGCAGUCUUCCCCGGGACGGGAAAAACAGCUUAGGGAGGAGGAAGAAAAAGCAGGAAGAAAACGCGCAUCCUCCCGGAAACGGAGCGGGAGUGCAGACUUUGCGGUUUCUCGGAGGGACUCUGAAUUGAUACAGUGCUAUGGCAGAAUGGAACAGCGUCCUCGUUCUGCAGAGGAGACUGGAGACUCAUCAUCAGAACUGUGCAUAAAUGUGGCUUGGCUGUCCAGCUUAAACCAAGAGAAAGAACUUUACAGCAAUAGGACUCUAUGAAGAAAAAUGGGAACAGGCUGUGGCAUGCAAGGUGAUAAAUCACCACUGCUUUCCAGCACACUCAUUUUAACUGCUAGAGGAGAUGCAUACAACUUGUUUGGCAUCAGCUGGAAGUUAACAACCAGCAGCAUUCACUUCACUGUGAAACCAGAUCAGAGCUAAUCUGACAAACAGAAGUCAACGGUUAUUUCUUCAGAGAUCACCACUCCUUCAAACAAAUACACCUGAAGUUAGGAAGUUGUGUCAACU
rnacentral:lncRNA from 1 species